rnacentral:pre_miRNA from 1 species
UUAGGUGAAAUUAAUGUAGGACCUACACUUCGGAAAUGGAACUCACAUAAAGUAGUGGGACAUACAUUGAUUUCACCCAA